rnacentral:rRNA from 1 species
AUUGAACGCUGGCGGCAGGCCUAACACAUGCAAGUCGAACGGUAACAGGAUACAGCUUUCUGUUUCGCUGUCGCGUGUCGGGCGCGUGUGUAAUGUCUGUCAAACUCCCUUAUGGAGGGGGAUAACUCCUGGAAACGGUAGCUAUAACCGCAUAACGUCCCAAGACCAAAGAGGGGGACCCUCGGGCCUCUUGCCAUCUGAUGUGCCGAGAUGGGAUUAGCUUGUUGGUGGGGUAACGGCUCACCAAGGCGACGAUCCCUAGCUGGUCUGAGAGGAUGAUCAGCCACACUGGAACUGAGACACGGUCCAGACUCCUACGGGAGGCAGCAGUGGGGAAUAUUGGACAAUGGGCGCAAGCCUGAUGCAGCCAUGCCGCGUGUAUGAAGAAGGCCUUCGGGUUGUAAAGUACUUUCGGCGGGGAGGAAGGGAGUAAAGUUAAUACCUUGGCUCAUUGACGUUACCCGAAGAAGAAGCACCGGCUAACUCCGUG